rnacentral:rRNA from 1 species
GACGAACGCUGGCGGCGUGCCUAAUACAUGCAAGUCGAACGCUGAAGGAGGAGCUUGCUUCUCUGGAUGAGUUGCGAACGGGUGAGUAACGCGUAGGUAACCUGCCUGGUAGCGGGGGAUAACUAUUGGAAACGAUAGCUAAUACCGCAUAAGAGUAGAUGUAGCAUGACAUUUGCUUAAAAGGUGCAAUUGCAUCACUACCAGAUGGACCUGCGUUGUAUUAGCUAGUUGGUGGGGUAACGGCUUACCAAGGCGACGAUACAUAGCCGACCUGAGAGGGUGAUCGGCCACACUGGGACUGAGACACGGCCCAGACUCCUACGGGAGGCAGCAGUAGGGAAUCUUCGGCAAUGGACGGAAGUCUGACCGAGCAACGCCGCGUGAGUGAAGAAGGUUUUCGGAUCGUAAAGCUCUGUUGUAAGAGAAGAACGAGUGUGAGAGUGGAAAGUUCACACUGUGACGGUAUCUUACCAGAAAGGGACGGCUAACUACGUG